rnacentral:rRNA from 1 species
GACGAACGCUGGCGGCGUGCUUAACACAUGCAAGUCGAGCGGUAAGGCUCCUUCGGGAGUACACGAGCGGCGAACGGGUGAGUAACACGUGAGCAAUCUGCCCUUCACAUGGGAAUAACUUCGGGAAACCGAAGCUAAUACCGAAUACGACCACCGAUGGCAUCUUCUGGUGGUGGAAAGUUCCGGCGGUGAAGGAUGAGCUCGCGGCCUAUCAGCUUGUUGGUGAGGUAAUGGCCCACCAAGGCGACGACGGUAGCCGGCCUGAGAGGGUGACCGGCCACACUGGGACUGAGACACGGCCCAGACUCCUACGGGAGGCAGCAGUAGGGAAUUUUGGACAAUGGGGGCAACCCUCGAUCCAGCCAUGCCGCGUGUGUGAUGAAGGCCU